UGACUGCAGUAAUGCUGUCUUAUUGCCAUAAAUAAUAAUAACCAGUCCUCCAAAAGAGCACCUUUUUCCAGUCUGUAUGAAUAACAUGCACCUGACAAGGAAUAAUGGACCUUACAUUUUCCUAGUGAAACUAUCAGGACAGCCAUAGCAUGGCAAAGUGUUGGGGAGAACUUUCUCCUUUACUAAUUCAAAAUUCAUGUAGACAGCUCUUCCUCCAGGCUGAUGCCUGCAAACAGGGGCUUAAUACUAUUUACCUGAAACCACAACAAAAGAAGGGUUGCAAAUUGCACCCAAUGCUUAUAUAAAAGUUGAUUUCUUUUGUUUUAGGAGGGAAAGUUAUUGACAAUUUGCCAACUUCCAGAAGAAAUUCCUAGCAGCUUCUCAAAUCCAGAAACCAUCAUGAGUCCACUCUAAGUGCUGCUUUACCCUGGCCUGGCUUUAGGUGCCAAAUUAUGGCUGGGAGAGGGACUUGGUGGGGAUUUACAGCAGCGGGGAGCCACGGUGGCCAGGAAAAAGCCUUGCCUGUCUCCCAGGGGAGGCUGAGGGUGUAACACACUGAGUUACAGGUGUUUACAAUUUGGGUGCAAUUAGGGCCUGAUCAGCUAGCAAAGUUUUUCACUUAGACAAAGGCUGGCUGGAUUCUUGUCGUGUUCUAGAGUUUUUUACAGAUAAUUUUUGUAAAAAAACAACAAAAUGGGAUGUUACAGUAGUGCCUGUGCCACAGACAGCAGGAUAUCCACGUUCACUGGAAGAAGGGCUCUGGUGUCCUACAAAAGAGCUCCACCCUCAGAUGACAACUUGCAGUUAGCUGGAAAGGCAAAGUUCCAAGGUUCACCUUUAUCACCACGAGGACCUUGAGGACCCUGUCAGGGUAGAUUUGCAAUAAAAGGAAGAUAGAAGGAGAUAAGAGCAUUGCCCAUACAACAGGAAAUAGUGAAUGGAUGACAUCACAAAUACUUUAAAUAUGACUUACAGCAGGACCACGAGCACCAGCAGGACCAGUAGAGCCAGGAGGGCCGGGUGGACCCUGUGACAUGAUUUUCCAGGUGCACCAGCAUUACCUGCAGGUCCAGGAUGGCCAGGGGGUCCUGGAGGGCCAGGAGAGCCAUUGUCACCACGGUCACCCUGCAGACAGUAAGGAGUAAUAAACAUCAUGUUUUACAGAACUCAAUAUAAGGAGUAUAUUCAGUGGAGCACAGAAGGUUCAAGGAACAAAUUACAUAGCACAUAGAUUGCAUAUGUAGUUAAUGUAGUUCAUGUCUCAUUUGGUGGGCAGUCUAAGGAUACUGGGGAUUUCUUACUUUGCCUCCUGGGGAUCCGUCACGUCCAGGCAAGCCAUCAGAGCCAGGGUUACCCUGAAAAACAGAGUGGCACAGUUUGUUCACAAACUGCAUGACCAGUAGACAGCUUGUUUCCCAGUAAGUUUCAGCAGUGCUCAUCAAAGAAAGAGUUUUCAAGAGAAAAGAGUUCCUGGUGGAGGAGUGGCUCCUAAAAGACCUUUAAGACCUGCAUUAUUUUGUAGGCAGUGCAGUUCCAAGCGAGACAGAUGAUGUCUGCAGGCAGGGAAUGGGAUAGCAGGGACAGGAGGCCACAUCUUACAGGAGGGCAGAAUCUGCCCAGGCCCCUGCCUUGUGGAUCUUAAAGCAUAUUUGCCCCCAGAAGCUCCCAUUUUUAACUCACAAGGUAGCAUGGAAAUCCCAUCCACUCACAUCUCUGCCAGGCUCUCCAGGUAAGCCUCUUUGUCCAAUAGGACCUUGGGGACCCGGAGCACCGCGUUCUCCUGGGAUACCGUUGGUGCCUGGUUUGCCAUCUUCACCCUGAACAAAAAGAGAAAGGAUUCCAUUGCAGAUAAUGUUUUUAGGAGAUACCAGUGCAUUUUGCAUCUUAUUAACUAUGCAGGGAUUUUGAAGGAGACCUAAUGAAGUGAUGGGCCAAUGUGGCUUUCCUGGUUGUGAAUACGCAAAACAAGAGGUAGAAACUUGGCCAAACUUGUUUCUUUUCAUUGCUGGUAAUAUUCCUGCAAGGCCAUUGAAUGUUUCUCAUUAACUGACUACUAAGAAAUAAUAAACAGAUAUA